GCGCCCGUAGCUCAAUUGGAUAGAGCACCUGCCUUCUAAGCCGGUUGUUGGCCGUUCGAUCCGGCCCGGGCGCG
rnacentral:tRNA from 4 species